rnacentral:rRNA from 1 species
ACCGGCGGCUCGAGUGGUGGCCACUAUUACUGGGCUUAAAGCGUUCGUAGGUGGCUUGUUAAGCCUCUGGGGAAAUCCUCCGGCUCAACCGUAAGAGGUCUCGCGAACUGGAAGACUAGAGUGCAGGAGAGGAAAGUGGAAUUCCUCGUGUAGCGGUGAAAUGCGUAGAUACUAGGGGGAACACCAGUGGCGAAGGCGACUUUCUGGACUGUAACUGACAGUGAGGCACGAAAGCUUGGGGAGCAAACAG